GCUUAUGGCCAAACCACCUUGAGAAUGCCUGAUCUCGUCUGAUCUCAGAAGCUAAGCAAGGUUGGGGCUCAGUCAGUACCUAGAUGGGAGACCGCCUGGGAAUACUGAGUGCUGUAAGCU